rnacentral:rRNA from 1 species
GAGUUUGAUCAUGGCUCAGGAUGAACGCUAGCGGCAGGCUUAACACAUGCAAGUCGAGGGGUAACGGGGAAGCUUGCUUCCGCCGACGACCGGCGCACGGGUGCGUAACGCGUAUACAAUCUACCUUGUACUGGGGUAUAGCCUUUAGAAAUGAAGAUUAACCCCCCAUAGUCUCUUAGAGUGGCAUCACUUCUAGAGUAAAGGUUACGGUAUAAGAUGAGUAUGCGUUCUAUUAGUUUGUUGGUGUGGUAACGGCACACCAAGACUACGAUAGAUAGGGGCCCUGAGAGGGGGAUCCCCCACACUGGUACUGAGACACGGACCAGACUCCUACGGGAGGCAGCAGUGAGGAAUAUUGGACAAUGGAGGCAACUCUGAUCCAGCCAUGCCGCGUGCAGGAAGACUGCCCUAUGGGUUGUAAACUGCUUUUAUACAGGAAGAAACACCUCUACGUGUAGAGGCUUGACGGUACUGUAAGAAUAAGGAUCGGCUAACUCCGUGCCAGCAGCCGCGGUAAUACGGAGGAUCCAAGCGUUAUCCGGAAUCAUUGGGUUUAAAGGGUCCGUAGGUGGAUAAUUAAGUCAGAGGUGAAAUCUUGCAGCUCAACUGUAAAAUUGCCUUUGAAACUGGUUAUCUUGAGUUAUUAUGAAGUAGUUAGAAUAUGUAGUGUAGCGGUGAAAUGCAUAGAUAUUACAUAGAAUACCAAUUGCGAAGGCAGAUUACUAAUAAUCAACUGACACUGAUGGACGAAAGCGUGGGUAGCGAACAGGAUUAGAUACCCUGGUAGUCCACGCCGUAAACGAUGGUUACUAGCUGUUUGGACUUCGGUCUGAGUGGCUAAGCGAAAGUGAUAAGUAACCCACCUGGGGAGUACGUUCGCAAGAAUGAAACUCAAAGGAAUUGACGGGGGCCCGCACAAGCGGUGGAGCAUGUGGUUUAAUUCGAUGAUACGCGAGGAACCUUACCAGGGCUUAAAUGUAAGUUGCAUUAGUUAGAGAUAGCUAUUUCUUCGGACCACUUACAAGGUGCUGCAUGGUUGUCGUCAGCUCGUGCCGUGAGGUGUCAGGUUAAGUCCUAUAACGAGCGCAACCCCUGUUGUUAGUUGCCAGCGAGUCAUGUCGGGAACUCUAGCAAGACUGCCAGUGCAAAUUGUGAGGAAGGUGGGGAUGACGUCAAAUCAUCACGGCCCUUACGUCCUGGGCUACACACGUGCUACAAUGGUAGGUACAGAGAGCAGCCACUGCGCGAGCAGGAGCGAAUCUAUAAAACCUAUCACAGUUCGGAUCGGAGUCUGCAACUCGACUCCGUGAAGCUGGAAUCGCUAGUAAUCGGAUAUCAGCCAUGAUCCGGUGAAUACGUUCCCGGGCCUUGUACACACCGCCCGUCAAGCCAUGGAAGUUGGAAGUGCCUGAAGUCCGUCACCGUAAGGAGCGGCCUAGGGUAAAGUCGAUAACUAGGGCUAAGUCGUAACAAGGUAACC